rnacentral:ncRNA from 12 species
CAGAAGCUGCAUGACUGGCGGAAAGUAGGAUUACCUACAGGGAGUGCAGUGAAGUGAGAAGCCGACCGCCUGGGCAGCCUGA